UUCUUUACUUAAGAGAUAGGAUAACCGGAUUAAGUUGCUUCUGAACCUAUCUUGUGGAUUACAGAAGAUCUCUGAUGGAGGACAAAAUUCACACAGACACCAUGCUUUUGUUUCCUCAGGAACACACACUGCUCUGCUCACUGCAGCCUCUUUUUUUUUUUUUUU